rnacentral:sRNA from 1 species
UGAGUGCAUCCGCGGACGAAAGGCCACCCUGGAGGAGCUGCAGACGGUGCACUCGGAAGCCCACACCCUCCUGUACGGCACGAACCCCCUCAACCGGCAGAAACUGGACAGUAAGAAACUUCUAGGCUCCCUGGCCUCCGUGUUCGUCCGGCUCCCCUGCGGUGGUGUUGGGGUGGACAGUGACACCAUAUGGAACGAGGUGCACUCGGCGGGGGCAGCCCGCCUGGCUGUGGGCUGUGUGGUAGAGCUGGUCUUCAAGGUGGCCACGGGGGAGCUGAAGAAUGGCUUUGCUGUGGUCCGCCCCCCUGGACACCAUGCGGAGGAGAGCACACCCAUGGGCUUUUGCUACUUCAACUCCGUGGCCGUGGCAGCCAAGCUUCUGCAGCAGAGGUUGAGUGUGAGCAAGAUCCUCAUCGUGGACUGGGACGUGCACCAUGGAAACGGGACCCAGCAGGCUUUCUACAGUGACCCCAGCGUCCUGUACGUGUCCCUCCACCGCUACGACGAUGGGAACUUCUUCCCAGGCAGCGGGGCUCCUGAUGAGGUGGGCACAGGGCCCGGCGUGGGUUUCAACGUCAACAUGGCUUUCACCGGCGGCCUGGACCCCCCCAUGGGAGACGCUGAGUACUUGGCGGCCUUCAGGUGAGCCUCCCGGCUUCACAUGACACCUGAAGUAGCAGCUUUUCCUCUGUGCACACAUUCCAGGAAGCACUUGUUGGAAAUGAGCGUGUCUGAAACUGGUCUGCGGCUGAACAGGGCUGCGGGGGCCAUAGGAGCUGUCUCAGUUCAUUCUUCAGUGCCGAGCGUGGAAUCUUGGAG